AACAAACGCUGGCGGCGUGCCUAACACAUGCAAGUCGUACGAGAAAGGGUCCUUCGGGACCUGAGUAAAGUGGCGCACGGGUGAGUAACGCGUGGAUAAUCUGCCCUUCAGUUGGGAAUAACUCAUCGAAAGGUGGGCUAAUACCGAAUGAUACUGCAAAACCUCGGUAGAGCAGUCAAAGAGAGCCUCUGCUUGCAUGCCCUUGCUGAAGGAUGAGUCCGCGUACCAUUAGCUAGUUGGUAGGGUAAUGGCCUACCAAGGCGACGAUGGUUAGCUGGUCUGAGAGGAUGAUCAGCCACACUGGAACUGAGACACGGUCCAGACACCUACGGGAGGCUG
rnacentral:rRNA from 1 species